AGUGCCUCCUCCAUCAAUUAGACUGGCCUAGGGAGGUUUCUAGCAGACUUCAUUUCUACAUCCCCUGGGUAGGAGGCUCUCAGAGUCAUUAUUCCCCCUGAUUAAGGAAGCUCCACCGCCUUCCUGGGAAGUAGGAAUUCUACCCAUUUGACAGCUGGGGAAACUGAAGCCCAGAGAGCUCCUUGACUUGCCCAAGCCUGCGCAGGUUGGAGACGUCAUGGGACGUAUCUUAAUCUGGCUGGACAACGUCUCUGAUCCCAGAGCCAGAAAAAAAGCGCUGAGAGCCAUGGUCUUGUUGGCUUGUUCCCACCCCCAGGACAUGUUUCUGAGCUGUGUGGUGCACACGCUGUCAUCGGACAGGUAAGGAGCUGCUCUCUUAUCACCUCAGGCCAUUUUUUCUCUUCCUGCUCCUACUGACAGGCCACGGUCCGGGAGGGGUCCAUCGGGCUCACACAGUUAGAGGGAGAUUCCUGCUGUGCAGAGAGCUGUCCAUGCUCACUAAGAGGAGAUGCCAAGGCUCAACCACUGAGGAGCCAACCCUCCUCCUGCACUCCCCAGGAUGGAGACAUGCCAGUUUUCUGGAGAAUUCCAGCACUGUCCUGAUUUCUAUGGGUCACCCCACUUCCUCUCCCAUCCAGUACAGGGCCAAUAAAUGACUUUGGGGCUCACUCCACAUCCCUGGGUCAUGAGGUCUGGCUGCUCCCUAUUGUGUGAGAGAAGGCAGAGAUGGAAAAGGCCUAUGAGGUCCAUCUGUCUGUCCCCGGGGACCAGUGCAGGAUUGUUACCUGUAGUCAGAUCCAUAGUAAUUCCAUGGCUGAGGAAGUGGUGAAAAAACACAUUCAUCCUUAUGGAGCUGCACAGUAGAGGUAAAUCUCUUCAGACAGAAAGUUCCAGCCCUUAUUUUUGCCAA